rnacentral:rRNA from 1 species
ACGGCCAUACCAUGCUGAAUACACCGGUUCUCGUUAGAUCACCGAAGUCAAGCAUCAUUGGGCGCUGCCAGUACUUAGGGUGGGUGACCACCUGGGAACACCGCGG